AGUUUUUAGACUUGUACUUUCUCCUUUCCUCUCUUACAAGAAUGGGCAACUCACUUUGCUGUAAAUUAAGGGUUGGAGUUGUACACUUUGCUUCAGUAUACGAACACAUUAACUUGUUGCAGCAUGGGAGAACUUAUCUGCGACAUGAUGUUGUCGAAGUCGGCUACAUCAAAUUCAAGCAGCCCUAAACAUCAAAUUCAAGCCUUGGUCCACCUUGCUACACCAAAGAGAUGUUUUAUACUUUGGAUCAGAGGCAUGCUUUUUGUCAUAUUGAUCAAGGGACCGUUGAACGCAGUAUUGACCAUGUGUAUUUAUUACCUGAAAUUAAACAAGCA
rnacentral:lncRNA from 1 species